rnacentral:rRNA from 1 species
GAUGAACGCUGGCGGCGUGCCUAAUACAUGCAAGUCGAGCGAAUGGAUUAAGAGCUUGCUCUUAUGAAGUUAGCGGCGGACGGGUGAGUAACACGUGGGUAACCUGCCCAUAAGACUGGGAUAACUCCGGGAAACCGGGGCUAAUACCGGAUAACAUUUUGAACCGCAUGGUUCGAAAUUGAAAGGCGGCUUCGCCUGUCACCUAUGGAUGGACCCGCGUCGCAUUAGCUAGUUGGUGAGGUAACGGCUCACCAAGGCAACGAUGCGUAGCCGACCUGAGAGGGUGAUCGGCCACACCGGGACUGAGACACGGCCCAGACUCCUACGGGAGGCAGCAGUAGGGAAUCUUCCGCAAUGGACGAAAGUCUGACGGAGCAACGCCGCGUGAGUGAUGAAGGCUUUCGGGUCGUAAAGCUCUGUUGUUAGGGAAGAACAAGUGCUAGUUGAAUAAGCUGGCACCUUGACGGUACCUAACCAGAAAGCCACGGCUAACUACGUGCCAGCCGCCGCGGUAA